UACCUGGUUGAUCCUGCCAGUAAUCAUAUGCUUGUCUCAAAGAUUAAGCCAUGCAUGUCUAAGUACAUGCCGAAAUAAGGCGAAACCGCGAAUGGCUCAUUAAAUCAGUUAUGGUUCCUUAGAUCGUUUCUUCCUACUUGGAUAACUGUGGCAAUUCUAGAGCUAAUACAUGCAGUGAGCCUGAAGCCCUUUGGGCGACGGGUGCUUUUAUUAGACCAAGAUCGAUCGGGUUUCGGCCCGUAUUGUGUGGUGACUCUGGAUAACUUUGUGCUGAUCGCAUGGCCACGAGCCGGCGACGUUUCUUUCAAGUGUCUGCCUUAUCAACUUUCGAUGGUAGGUUACUUGCUUACCAUGGUUGUUACGGGUAACGGAGAAUCAGGGUUCGAUUCCGGAGAGGGAGCCUGAGAAACGGCUACCACAUCCAAGGAAGGCAGCAGGCGCGCAAAUUACCCACUCCCGGCACGGGGAGGUAGUGACGAAAAAUAACAAUACGGGACUCUUUUGAGGCCCCGUAAUUGAAAUGAGUACACUCUAAAUCCUUUAACGAGGAUCAAUUGGAGGGCAAGUCUGGUGCCAGCAGCCGCGGUAAUUCCAGCUCCAAUAGCGUAUACUAAAGCUGCUGCGGUUAAAAAGCUCGUAGUUGGAUCUCAGUUCCAGACGAGUAGUGCAUCUACCCGAUGCGACGGCUCGGACUGAACAUCAUGCCGGUCCUUUCUUGGUGCACUUCAUUGUGUGCCUCGAGAAGGCCGGUGCUUUUACUUUGAAAAAAUUAGAGUGCUCAACGCAGGCGAGUCGCCUGAAUAAACUUGCAUGGAAUAAUAGAACAAGACCUCGUUUCUGUUCUGUUGGUUUUUGGAAUACGAGGUAAUGAUUAAGAGGGACAGACGGGGGCAUUCGUAUUGCGGCGCUAGAGGUGAAAUUCUUGGACCGUCGCAAGACGAACUACUGCGAAAGCAUUUGCCAAGAAUGUUUUCUUUGAUCAAGAACGAAAGUCAGAGGUUCGAAGGCGAUCAGAUACCGCCCUAGUUCUGACCAUAAACGAUGCCAACCAGCGAUCCGCCUGAGUUACUCAAAUGACUCGGCGGGCAGCUUCCGGGAAACCAAAGUGUUUGGGUUCCGGGGGAAGUAUGGUUGCAAAGCUGAAACUUAAAGGAAUUGACGGAAGGGCACCACCAGGAGUGGAGCCUGCGGCUUAAUUUGACUCAACACGGGAAAACUUACCCGGCCCGGACACUGGGAGGAUUGACAGAUUGAGAGCUCUUUCUUGAUUCGGUGGAUGGUGGUGCAUGGCCGUUCUUAGUUGGUGGAGCGAUUUGUCUGGUUAAUUCCGAUAACGAACGAGACUCUAGCCUAUUAAAUAGGUGCGGGGUUCCCAGCACCUUACAACCUUCUUAGAGGGACAAGCGGCUCCUAGCCGCACGAAACAGAGCAAUAACAGGUCUGUGAUGCCCUUAGAUGUCCGGGGCCGCACGCGCGCUACACUGAAGGAAGCAGCGUGUCUUUAUCCCUGUCUGAAAAGACUGGGUAACCCGUGGAACUUCUUUCGUGAUUGGGAUAGGGGCUUGCAAUUGUUCCCCUUGAACGAGGAAUUCCCAGUAAGCGCGAGUCAUAAGUUCGCGUUGAUUACGUCCCUGCCCUUUGUACACACCGCCCGUCGCUACUACCGAUUGAAUGAUUUAGUGAGGUCUUCGGACCGAUGUCCGGCGCGGCCUUUCGGUUGCGCCGGUCUGUUGGAAAGAUGACCAAACUUGAUCAUUUAGAGGAAGUAAAAGUCGUAACAAGGUUUCCGUAGGUGAACCUGCGGAAGGAUCAUUA
rnacentral:rRNA from 1 species